rnacentral:rRNA from 1 species
UACGAAGGGGGCUAGCGUUGUUCGGAAUUACUGGGCGUAAAGCGCACGUAGGCGGACUGAUAAGUCAGGGGUGAAAUCCCGGGGCUCAACCCCGGAACUGCCUUUGAUACUGUCAGUCUCGAGUUCGAGAGAGGUGAGUGGAAUUCCGAGUGUAGAGGUGAAAUUCGUAGAUAUUCGGAGGAACACCAGUGGCGAAGGCGGCUCACUGGCUCGAUACUGACGCUGAGGUGCGAAAGCGUGGGGAGCAAACAGG